AACGAACGCUGGCGCGUGGAUUAGGCAUGCAAGUCGUACGAUCUAUAUGAGAGUGGCGUAAGGGUGAGUAACACGUGGGCAAUCUACCUUCGACUUGGGAAUAACCUUGCGAAAGCGGGGCUAAUACCGAAUAAUGUAUUUGGGGCACAUGCCUCGAAUAUCAAAGCCUUCGGGCGGUUGAAGAGGAGCCCGCGGCCUAUCAGCUAGUUGGUAGGGUAAUGGCCUACCAAGGCGACGACGGGAAGCUGGUCUGAGAGGAUGGUCAGCCACACUGGGACUGAGACACUGCCCAGACUCCUACGGGAGGCUGCAGUCGAGAAUCUUCUCCAAUGGGCGAAAGCCUGAGAGAGCGACGCCGCGUGAGGGAUGAAGGUCUUCGGAUUGUAAACCUCUGUCACCCCGGAUGAAGAUAUGACAGUACGGGGAGAGGAAGCUCCGGCUAACUACGUG
rnacentral:rRNA from 1 species